UCUCAUUUUUUAAGGUUUACUCUGGCAGUACCUUUUAAUAUAAAACUUUGCAAUAUGUAUUGAAACUUAAAAUGUCAAUUUAAAUUGAAAAUACUUGGGGUAUUCUAAAACAUGUACUUAUAACUUCACAGCACAAUGAUAAAUGUGCACAAAAAUGCCUUUUAAUACCAAAUGUUUAUCUAAAUAAUGAUUGUCAUAAAAAAAUAAAUUACCCAACUCUUGAUGAGAUUGUUUCAUGUUGCAGUUAAUAUUUUCCUUAGAGGGAAAUGUUAUCUUGGAUAAUAAAUCAGUUUUUCACAGCCAAAUAUUCAAACCUUAAAUUAAACAACAUCAAAUUGUUCAGUUUGAGACUGGUAAAUUGUUCAUGUUAAGGAGUUAAUGCAAUCUAAUAUAUUUACUAAUUAAGUAAGAUACAUUUUACAUUAUAAAUACUAAAACAAUAAGCAUAAUGAACAUUAAAAACUGUAGAAAUCAUCAUUCAUUUUAAAGACAGUAAUUAUUUAUCUUUUAUUUUCUAUUUUUGUUCAAACAUCUAAUUAUCAUUGGCCACAGAAACGGUGACCAAUCACUGAAAUGCUUUUACAGGACAUUUUUAUGCUCCUGUCUAAGGAUCUAUUUUGCAGCUGUACAGUAAUUAAGAGACUGGUUUUCUUAAACACUAAUGUACAGGGUUUAUGUGUGCAACCUUUCAAAUGCAUUACGAAAACAUAUAUAGGGGGUUAAACUGUUGAUCAGUUGCAGUUCUUUGUCUUAGCUUUGAAAAAUGUCGAACAUCAAAGACUGGAGCAACAGUGAAGCCCUGGUUUUGUGCCAAUUUGCCCAUCAGAAAUUUAACCCAUACUUUCACUUCCCUAAUCUUCAGUUUCAUCUAUGAGAAAAAAUUUCACUGCUAGAGCUCCUUUUUUAGAGUUGUUAAAAAAAUGUAUAAAUAAGAGUAUUGGGGUUAGGAGUUCAAGGCUGGCAGUGGUUACUUUUUUUCUGUAAUACAUACGUCGAGUUUUCUGAGGGAUUUUUAGAUAGUAGGCUCAAAAUUAUUCCUACCACUGGCAGAUUUAGUUUCAAAGUAUUAUUUUAAGUAUAACGACAUGUUUCUUCUGACUAGAAGUAACAUUAGCCCCUAUUCCAUUGGUUUUAGAAAGCCCCACGGUUUAGGACAUGUUUCAAUACAAAUUUACCUGGAUAAUUUCACUUUCCCGAGGAUUUACUUUCACGGGUAAAAGGUCCUGGUCUGGAGUGGAUCUUUACAGAUUUCCCCGAGAUUGUAAAUAGGGUGGAGUUGUGUGCAGCGAGGCAUUGCACCAGCAGCUGCAAUAAUGGUGGCGACGUUUCUGGAGCAGUGGAACUCCGCUUACAUGCUGGUCUAGCUGCUAAGGUAAGCUAACGGAGAGGUUGGACUGGGACUUUCCCACUGCUGCCUGAACGCAGCCCGGCAUUCUGGGACUUCCCGUUAUCUGUUAUCUGUCUGUGACGACUGAAAGUGAACAUCAAGCCUUUAGCAGGUAUUUGGUAAAUAACUGCAAGUAAAGGGAAUAUAAAAUAUAAUAUUAUUCACCAAAAAAUGUUGACACUUUAAGGGAAUUAAUUAUAAACUGUUUUGUCACGGUUCUGUAGGAAAAAUAUUUUAAUGCACUACUGAUAAUCAAAAAGAGCACUUUAAAUUUUCAUUGUACAUAAAAUAUAUACAUUUUAAGAUUGUCUUUUCAUGUACACCUAACUUGGUUGAGUAUGAACUCUUUAUUACCUUUAUCAUGCGUUUGCCUGAUGAUAA